GAGCUAAAUUUAAUUUGAUUUUGUUUUAUUUUUUUAUCAUUGUUCAUACCUUUUUUAUUGUGAACUCCACCAAAUAUUGGUUCCUAAGUAAGUUGAUUUCGUUGUUCCGUAUGGCAUGCCUUUUGUUUCCCUGGGGAGUGGUUUGGCGUUGCACCUGUGUGUCUAGCGUCAGUGAGCGCUGAUGCACGGAGCUGAGUGGAGAGUGAUAUCCCGGAUUGUGUGUGACGCCCGUGUUGUUUUGUCUCCUUUGGAAAGGUAUGCCUGUUAUGUGUCUUUGUUUAUGGUAAAAUAUGUAAAAUGAGUGUGAGGAAAAUGACAAUUCUCUAUUAUAUUUUAUUUCCUUUAUUAGUGUAUAUAUUUAAUAUACUGUCUUUAUAUUUAAUUUAUUUAUUUGAGAUCAUUUUAUGCUUUGUUUACAUUUUUAUAAUUUAUUCCCUACAUGUAUUCAUUGAAAGUCACAGGAUAUAUUAAGCUAGCGUGAGUGAGCGCUGAUGCACGGAGCUGAGUGGAGAGUGAUAUCCCGGAUUGUGUGUGACGCCCGUGUUGUUUUGUCUCCUUUGGAAAGAAUAAACCUCCAGUACUCGACUCCUGUGUGUGCCUCACUCAAAGAUACAAGACACAACGCAGAAAGACAUCGGUUACACAUG